AGAGUUUGAUCAUGGCUCAGAAUCAACGCUGGCGGCGUGCCUAACACAUGCAAGUCGAACGCGAAAGUGGAGCAAUCCAUGAGUAGAGUGGCAAACGGGUGAGUAACACGUGGGUGACCUGCCUUCGAGUGGGGGAUAACGUCCCGAAAGGGACGCUAAUACCGCAUAACAUGCUGUCUUUUAAGAGAGAGACAUCAAAGCCGGGGACCGCAAGCCUGGCGCUUGAAGAGGGGCCCGCGCCUGAUUAGCUAGUUGGUGGGGUAAUGGCUCACCAAGGCAACGAUCAGUAUCCGGCCUGAGAGGGCGGACGGACACACUGGGACUGAGACACGGCCCAGACUCCUACGGGAGGCAGCAGUGGGGAAUUGUUCGCAAUGGGCGCAAGCCUGACGACGCAACGCCGCGUGGAGGAUGAAGACCUUCGGGUCGUAAACUCCUUUCGAUCGAGACGAAUGGCCUCCGGGCUAACAUCCUGGAGGAGUGACGGUACCGAGAGAAGAAGCCCCGGCUAACUCCGUGCCAGCAGCCGCGGUAAUACGGGGGGGGCAAGCGUUGUUCGGAAUUACUGGGCGUAAAGGGCUCGUAGGCGGCCAACUAAGUCAUACGUGAAAUCCCUCGGCUUAACCGGGGAACUGCGUCUGAUACUGGAUGGCUUGAGUUCGGGAGAGGGAUGCGGAAUUCCAGGUGUAGCGGUGAAAUGCGUAGAUAUCUGGAGGAACACCGGUGGCGAAGGCGGCAUCCUGGACCGAUACUGACGCUGAGGAGCGAAAGCCAGGGGAGCAAACGGGAUUAGAUACCCUAGUAGUCC
rnacentral:rRNA from 1 species